rnacentral:rRNA from 1 species
AGGAUGAACGCUAGCGGCAGGCCUAAUACAUGCAAGUCGUACGGCAACACAGUUGCGAGCAAUCGCAACCGGUGGCGAGUGGCGAACGGGUGAGUAAUGUAUCGGAACGUAUCCUGUAAUGGGGGAUAACCAGUCGAAAGAUUGGGUAAUACCGCAUACGCACGAGAGUGGAAAGUAGGGGAUCGCAAGACCUUACGUUAUAGGAGCGGCCGAUAUCUGAUUAGCUAGUUGGUGGGGUAAAGGCCUACCAAGGCGACGAUCAGUAGCUGGUCUGAGAGGACGACCAGCCACACUGGGACUGAGACACGGCCCAGACUCCUACGGGAGGCAGCAGUGGGGAAUUUUGGACAAUGGGCGAAAGCCUGAUCCAGCCAUGCCGCGUGCAGGAAGAAGGCCUUCGGGUUGUAAACUGCUUUAGUCUACGGAAAAGGGGUGCGAGGUUAAUACCCUCGUGCUUUGAUUGGUACUGGAAGAAUAAGCACCGGCUAACUACGUG